UUCAUUCAUCAUCAGAUGAGCGCGAGCAUUUAAAUCGCGAUACUUCAUUGAUCCGGAUGCACGUGACACGGCCACAUGGCCAGGUACUUGUGCCUUCAUUUAUAGACACGAGCAAACCCACAGUCUUAAACAAAUACGGCAGCGGGAACGGUAUGGAUCAAAUUAUCGUUUGCGUCACGGCAAUGUACCGUGCACGUGCGACGCGUUAUCUGUUUCCACGCACAGGGUGUCCGAGAAUUCAUCGCGCAAAUGUGUAAAGAUUCAACAAUUCUCUCACAGAAAAUAUAAGUAAAACAUGAAGAAUUAAAUUUUUCCAUACGAGGCUCUGUUUUUGAGGAAAAUUACUUUAAAAUGUGACGAAGCACGUGCACUAUUUGAUCGUCUGGUCAUGGCUUACUGCAUCUACUUGUCUAUCUAGACUCGAUACUGUGUUAGGUGAUCCGGCUUGGUUUGGAAAUGUAUACCAGCAGAAUGUACGAAUACGAGAAUCGUUGCAAUGAAUACGUCUUGCGUGCACAUGCAUUCGAUAGAUUCAGAUCGUAAAUUGCAUCGUGUCUGACAGAAAAACUGAAGAAAAGGGUUACAGAUACAUAGUGAGGAUAGGAAACAAACCUUAAAUUUUAGCGGGACAUUGUUGAAAAUGGCAACUAAAUAUACCUGAAUGUCGAUUUAUGAAACUAGCCUUAGAUGUUCCUAUCUGUAAUUUACGUAGACGUGCUAACCACAUUUAAUAAAUUACACACGGGAUCGAACA